GUAUUUUGACUUCUUCAGCGUGGCCUUGAAACGAGGAGAAAUGGAUUUUGUUGGGCUCCGUGUGCAGGAGGAAUGCUCCCGGGAGGGUGUUUGCCGUGUUUUUUCCGCCGUGUUUUUGCUAACAGAGAGCGAGCUCGAGCGCUCUGAGAACACACCGUAUCCCGCUUUUUAAUCUCUUAAAAAAAGAAAGAAAGAUACCCUCAUCUUUGGACCGAUUGAGCUUUUAACUAACAGUCACCACAAAUAUGGACAGUGCGUGUUUGGAGUAGUUUUCCUGAUUUGUAACAGAGUUCCUCCACAGAUGGACAAGACGAAAGAGGAUGGUGUGGAUUAGGAUCUUUCUUCCUUUUCGUUUUGACUUCAUCCUGCUCACCUCAAUGUGGCCCAUAAAGGAUUUCUUCCAUCUCUGCGGCAGUUUAAAAUGAAA